GAAAAGGCCAUAGAGUCUCUACCUGCUUUUCUCUUGUGCCCUGAGGGAAGCCAGCCCGCAGGUUCACUGAAAGUAGAUGCCUCUCAAAAGCUACCAGGAGCAGAAGAAAUUCAGUUGUGAUACCUGCAUCCACAUUUUUAUAUCCUGAAAAGAUGUUCAGAAGCCU